rnacentral:rRNA from 1 species
GCUGGCACAUAGUUAGCCGGUGCUUCUUCUGCAGGUACCGUCACUUUCGCUUCUUCCCUGCUGAAAGCGGUUUACAACCCGAAGGCCUUCAUCCCGCACGCGGCGUCGCUGGGUCAGAGUUUCCUCCAUUGCCCAAUAUUCCCCA